ACUACUAGCCUGAAGCAGUAGGGGGCCCGACCGUAUGGUAAGGACUCUAGCCCGUCAGAAGCAGAUAUAGGGCGUACCCUGACAGUACCCAGGGAAGGACUACUACCAGUCAGAAGCAGAGUAUGGGGGCCCUGAAAGUACCUAGGAAAGGACACUACCGUCAGAAGCAGAUAUAAGGGCGUGCCAGCUA